UGGGGUGAUAAAGAGAGAGACCAACAGGCAUAAAUGCCCCGGAGAAGAAUGAAAUCUUUGCCAAGAAGGCUCAGUUCACAGGGUUAUUUUCCACCUGCCUCCCCUACCCAGUUCUGUAAUCCUGGCUCAAAGUAGACAAGUCGAGUUGGAGCUGAAGAAGGGAGGUUAGAGGAUUUUUUCCUUGGGAGAGAAAAAAAGAAAAAAAAAGAAAAAAAGAAAAAAAAAAAAGGAAAAUGAGAGUUUGGUUGGACAACAAAGGCUGGAGCAUCCCAUGGUGUGAGGCAGUGCAGGAUGAUCUAAUUUAGGACCAGGGAGGCUGAUGAGCCGGCGCUGACCAGGGAUCGGAGCCUCAGCAUCCCCAUGAGAAAUUUUGCCCACCGGAGUCGAAUUCCCAGGGGGGCAAUGCCACACCUCCUGAGGACACUGGGGACAUCAGGUUUUGCUGAGCUUAGCAUCUUCUCAACGCCGUACUGA
rnacentral:lncRNA from 1 species